UGGCUACAGAACGAACGCUGGCGGCAUGCCUAACACAUGCAAGUCGAACGAGACCUUCGGGUCUAGUGGCGCACGGGUGUGUAACACGUGGGAAUUUGCCUCGGGGUAUGGAAUAACUCAGGGAAACUUGAGCUAAUACCAUAUAAUGUCUUCGGACCAAAGAUUUAUCGCCCUGAGAUAAGCCCGCGUAGGAUUAGCUAGUUGGUGGGGUAAAGGCUCACCAAGGCGACGAUCCUUAGCUGGUCUGAGAGGAUGAUCAGCCACACUGGGACUGAGACACGGCCCAGACUCCUACGGGAGGCAGCAGUGGGGAAUAUUGGACAAUGGGCGAAAGCCUGAUCCAGCAAUGCCGCGUGAGUGAUGAAGGCCUUCGGGUUGUAAAGCUCUUUUACUCGGGACGAUAAUGACGGUACCGAGAGAAUAAGCCCCGGCUAACUCCGUG
rnacentral:rRNA from 1 species